rnacentral:rRNA from 1 species
UAGGCGAAGCGUGCUGUUGGAGUGCACGUCCAAGCAGUAAGGCUGAGUGUUAGGCAAAUCCGGCACUCAUAAGGCUGAGCUGUGAUGGGGAGAGGAAAUUGUUUCCUCGAGUCGCUGAUUUCACACUGCCGAGAAAAGCCUCUAGAUAGAUAACAGGUGCCCGUACCGCAAACCGACACAGGUAGUCAAGAUGAGAAUUCUAAGGUGAGCGAGCGAACUCUCGUUAAGG